AGUGAACGCUGGCGGCAGGCCUAACACAUGCAAGUCGAGCGGAAGAACGGUGCUUGCUCCUGGUUUCAGCGGCGGACGGGUGAGUAAUGCCUAGGAACAUGCCUGUUUGUUGUGUAGAACGUCCUAAAGCGGGCGCUAUUACCCUAUUAGUCCUGACGACGUAAGGGGGAGAGCUUCGGACCUCACGCUCUCAGGUGAUCCUAGGUCGGAUUGUCGAGUUGGUGGGGUAAAGGCCUACCAAGGCGACAAUCCGUAACUGGUCUGAGAGGCUGAUCAGACACACUGGAACUGAGACAAGGUCCAGACUCCUACGGGAGGCAGCAGUGGGGAAUAUUGGGCCAUGGGCGAAAGCCUGAUUCCGCCAUGCCGCGUGUGUGAAGAAGGUCUUCGGAUUGUAAAGCCCUUUAAGUUGGGAGGAAGGGCAGUCAGUUAAUACCUUGCUGUUUUGACGGUAACACAAGAAUAAGCCACGGCUAACUUCGUG
rnacentral:rRNA from 1 species